rnacentral:rRNA from 1 species
AUUGAACGCUGGCGGCAUGCCUUACACAUGCAAGUCGAACGGUAACAGGUCUUCGGAUGCUGACGAGUGGCGAACGGGUGAGUAAUACAUCGGAACGUGCCUAGUAGUGGGGGAUAACUACUCGAAAGAGUGGCUAAUACCGCAUGAGAUCUACGGAUGAAAGCAGGGGAUCGCAAGACCUUGUGCUACUAGAGCGGCCGAUGGCAGAUUAGGUAGUUGGUGGGAUAAAAGCUUACCAAGCCGACGAUCUGUAGCUGGUCUGAGAGGACGAUCAGCCACACUGGGACUGAGACACGGCCCAGACUCCUACGGGAGGCAGCAGUGGGGAAUUUUGGACAAUGGGCGCAAGCCUGAUCCAGCAAUGCCGCGUGCAGGAUGAAGGCCUUCGGGUUGUAAACUGCUUUUGUACGGAACGAAAAGCCCUGGGUUAAUACCCUGGGGUCAUGACGGUACCGUAAGAAUAAGCACCGGCUAACUACGUGCCAGCAGCCGCGGUAAUACGUAGGGUGCGAGCGUUAAU